UCUGCGAUUUCCGAAUGGGGAAACCCAACUGCAUAAGCAGUUACUGUUAACUGAAUACAUAGGUUAACAGAGCAAACCGGGGGAACUGAAACAUCUAAGUACCCCGAGGAGAAGAAAUCAACCGAGAUUCCGGUAGUAGCGGCGAGCGAACCUGGAUUAGCCCUUAAGCACUCGGUGAAGUAGGUGAACAAGCUGGAAAGCUUGGCGAUACAGGGUGAUAGCCCCGUAACCGACGCUUCAUCGAGCGUGAAAUCGAGUAGGGCGGGACACGUGAUAUCCUGUCUGAAUAUGGGGGGACCAUCCUCCAAGGCUAAAUACUCCUGACUGACCGAUAGUGAACCAGUACCGUGAGGGAAAGGCGAAAAGAACCCCUGUGAGGGGAGUGAAAUAGAACCUGAAACCGUGUACGUACAAGCAGUAGGAGCACCUUCGUGGUGUGACUGCGUACCUUUUGUAUAAUGGGUCAGCGACUUAUAUUCAGUGGCAAGGUUAACCGUAUAGGGGAGCCGUAGCGAAAGCGAGUCUUAACUGGGCGCUCAGUCUCUGGAUAUAGACCCGAAACCGGGUGAUCUAGCCAUGGGCAGGUUGAAGGUUGAGUAACAUCAACUGGAGGACCGAACCGACUAAUGUUGAAAAAUUAGCGGAUGACUUGUGGCUAGGGGUGAAAGGCCAAUCAAACUCGGAGAUAGCUGGUUCUCCCCGAAAGCUAUUUAGGUAGCGCCUCGGACGAAUACUACUGGGGGUAGAGCACUGUUAAGGCUAGGGGGUCAUCCCGACUUACCAACCCUUUGCAAACUCCGAAUACCAGUAAGUACUAUCCGGGAGACACACGGCGGGUGCUAACGUCCGUCGUGGAGAGGGAAACAACCCAGACCGCCAGCUAAGGUCCCAAAGUAUUGCUAAGUGGGAAACGAUGUGGGAAGGCUCAGACAGCUAGGAUGUUGGCUUAGAAGCAGCCAUCAUUUAAAGAAAGCGUAAUAGCUCACUAGUCGAGUCGGCCUGCGCGGAAGAUGUAACGGGGCUAAGCA
rnacentral:rRNA from 1 species